UACGUAGGGGGCAAGCGUUAUCCGGAUUUACUGGGUGUAAAGGGAGCGUAGGCGGCUUGGCAAGUCUGAUGUGAAAGCCCAGGGCUCAACCCUGGGACUGCAUUGGAAACUGUCAGGCUAGAGUGCAGGAGAGGUAAGUGGAAUUCCUAGUGUAGCGGUGAAAUGCGUAGAUAUUAGGAGGAACACCAGUGGCGAAGGCGGCUUACUGGACUGUAACUGACGCUGAGGCUCGAAAGCGUGGGGAGCAAACAGG
rnacentral:rRNA from 3 species